AGUGAACGCUGGCGGUAGGCCUAACACAUGCAAGUCGAACGGCAGCACAGUAAGAGCUUGCUCUUACGGGUGGCGAGUGGCGGACGGGUGAGGAAUACAUCGGAAUCUACUUUUUCGUGGGGGAUAACGUAGGGAAACUUACGCUAAUACCGCAUACGACCUACGGGUGAAAGCAGGGGAUCUUCGGACCUUGCGCGAUUCAAUGAGCCGAGGUCGGAUUAGCUAGUUGGCGGGGUAAAGGCCCACCAAGGCGACGAUCCGUAGCUGGUCUGAGAGGAUGAUCAGCCACACUGGAACUGAGACACGGUCCAGACUCCUACGGGAGGCAGCAGUGGGGAAUAUUGGACAAUGGGCGCAAGCCUGAUCCAGCCAUGCCGCGUGGGUGAAGAAGGCCUUCGGGUUGUAAAGCCCUUUUGUUGGGAAAGAAAAGCAGCAGGUUAAUACCCCGCUGUUCUGACGGUACCCAAAGAAUAAGCACCGGCUAACUUCGUG
rnacentral:rRNA from 1 species